CUUUUUUAUUUUAAACUCUUCACUUAAUACUGAUUAUACUGUGGGGACGAAAGUCUCUGCUUUUAACUAGAUAGCAACUUUCAGCAGUGGAUGUCUAGGCUCGCACAUCGAUGAAGAACGCUGCGAACUGCGAUACGUAAUGCGAAUUGCAGGAUUCAGUGAGUCAUCGAAAUUUUGAACGCAUAUUGCACUUCCGGGUUAGUCCAGGAAGUAUGCCUGUAUCAGUGUCCGUACAACAAACUUGGCUUUCUUCCUUCCGUGUAGUCGGUGGAGGAGAUGCCAGAUGUGAAGUGUCUUGCGGUUGGUUUUCGGACCGACUGCGAGUCCUUUUAAAUGUACUAAACUGUACUUCUCUUUGCUCCAAAAGUGGUGGCAUUGCUGGUUGGGGACGCUGCUAUUGUAGCGAGUUGGCGACCGGUUUGUCUGCUGCGGCGUUAAUGGAGAAAUGCUCGAUUCGUGGUAUGGUUGGCUUCGGCUGAACAAUGCGCUUAUUGGGUGAUUUUCCUGCUGUGGCGUGAUGGACUGGUGAACCAUGGCUCUUUAGCUUGGCAUUUGAAUCGGCUUUGCUGUUGCGAAGUAGAGUGGCGGCUUCGGCUGCCGAGGGUCGAUCCAUUUGGGAAAUGUUGUGUACUUCGGUAUGCAUCUCAAUUGGACCCUGAUAUCAGGCCAGAGUUUACUGUGAACUCC
rnacentral:rRNA from 1 species